rnacentral:misc_RNA from 1 species
GAUGAAGAACGUAGCGAAAUGCGAUACGUAAUGUGAAUUGCAGAAUUCAGUGAAUCAUCGAAUCUUUGAACGCAUAUUGCGCUCUUUGGUAUUCCGAAGAGCAUGCUUGUUUGAGUAUCAGUAAACACCUCAACCUCUUCUUGAUUUUUCAAAAGGAGGGUGGACUUGAGCUAUCCCAACAACCUUUACCGGUCGGCGGGCGGCUUGAAAUGCAGGUGCAGCUGGACUUUUAUCUGAGCUAAAAGCAUAUCUAUUUAGUCCUCGUCAAACAGGAUUAUUACUUUUGCUGCAGCUAACAUAAAGGAUAAUUGUCCUCUUUGCUGACUGAUGCAGGAUUUUACGACACUUUAUGUGUUGUUCAACUCGAUCUCAAAUCAAGUAAGACUACCCGCUGAACUUAAGCAUAUCAAUAAUCGGAGGA